rnacentral:RNase_P_RNA from 2 species
UGGGUACGCGGGGCAAUCGCUUUUUAUUAACACAUGUUGAUAAAAAGAGGAAAGUCUGGACUCCUAACAGAAAGGGUGCCUUAUAAGGAUUUCGGCCCUUGUGGUCGUAUCACAAGUAAGGGAGGCGCAAGUCUAUGGAAAGUGCAACAGAAAGUAAACCGCCGUAGGUUAAUAACCUAAGGUAAGGGUGAAACCGUGUGGUAAGAGCACACGACCAAUAGCAGUGAUGUUAUUGUGUGGAAAACCCCGCCCGGAGCAAGACAAAGUAAGCAUGUUACAGGUUUUCUGUUCCUCUACAACAUGCGGGUAUGUCGCACAAGAUAAAUGAUUGCCGGGGUAACUAAAAAAAUUGGUUAUCUCACAGAAUCCAGCUUACAAGUGCACCCAAAAG